rnacentral:lncRNA from 1 species
GGAUAAUGAUGCCAUUGCCACAUUUUCUCUAAAUGAAUUUUUUAAGAAUGGAAGUCACGUUAUCAAAAGAUUUUAUGUGGGCCUUUAAAAAAAUGCACAAAGGAUUUAAGGUUAAUUUGAAGAAAUGAAAGAAAAUAUAGUUGAUGCCUACACAGAUGAAUAAUGAAGAAAGUCUUUGUGAAUCAAACAAUCCACCUUGGAAAGAACUGGAUAAACUAUUGUUUCUACUGAGCAUAAGCAAGGCGGCAGUCCUGAUUAUUUUAUUUUGACAGAACAAAUAUGUGUGCUAUGAAAAUUUCUGGAUCAUGUCUGAUAUUAAAACAGAGCCAUGAAAAUAGAUACUUCGGAUGAGACUUUUCAAACAGUGACUGCCAAAGGUUAGCCACCCACAAAGAAGAUUUAGAUUAAAGCUAUAAAAAGCUUGUUUGUGGAAUUACUAACUGUUGGAAAGUGGAAAAGGAAUUAAAUCUAUAAACACCAAAAAACAGGGUCAAGAUGGCAAUGCAUGUGAAAAUUU